UAAGAGGACUAUAACAUCCAUGAAUUGUCCAUGAAUUCAAUGAUUUGGAUGACUUGCUGUCUUAUAGACUGAUAGAACUGGAUGUCUGGGUGGAAACGAGACAACAAAUAUAGACAACUGCUUCUAGAAGUUGGCUUUGAAGAAUUUAGAAGGGCUGAAGGGAAAGAAAAGGGGAAAGGGAAGAAAACAUUGGGGAAGACACAGAGGUACUGAAGAUUCAUUUGAAUUCAAGGAAGAGCCACAGGAUGAAUUAACUUGGGUCUCUGAAUCCCUUUAGGGAAAGCCAAUCUCCACCUUGGUACGUACUGUAAUGUGAAAAAGAAAUAAGGUUUUAUUCUU
ensembl:lncRNA